UGAGUAACACGUGGGUAACCUGCCUGUAAGACUGGGAUAACUCCGGGAAACCGGGGCUAAUACCGGAUGGUUGUUUGAACCGCAUGGUUCAGACAUAAAAGGUGGCUUCGGCUACCACUUACAGAUGGACCCGCGGCGCAUUAGCUAGUUGGUGAGGUAACGGCUCACCAAGGCGACGAUGCGUAGCCGACCUGAGAGGGUGAUCGGCCACACUGGGACUGAGACACGGCCCAGACUCCUACGGGAGGCAGCAGUAGGGAAUCUUCCGCAAUGGACGAAAGUCUGACGGAGCAACGCCGCGUGAGUGAUGAAGGUUUUCGGAUCGUAAAGCUCUGUUGUUAGGGAAGAACAAGUGCCGUUCAAAUAGGGCGGCACCUUGACGGUACCUAACCAGAAAGCCACGGCUAACUACGUGCCAGCAGCCGCGGUAAUACGUAGGUGGCAAGCGUUGUCCGGAAUUAUUGGGCGUAAAGGGCUCGCAGGCGGUUUCUUAAGUCUGAUGUGAAAGCCCCCGGCUCAACCGGGGAGGGUCAUUGGAAACUGGGGAACUUGAGUGCAGAAGAGGAGAGUGGAAUUCCACGUGUAGCGGUGAAAUGCGUAGAGAUGUGGAGGAACACCAGUGGCGAAGGCGACUCUCUGGUCUGUAACUGACGCUGAGGAGCGAAAGCGUGGGGAGCGAACAGGAUUAGAUACCCUGGUAGUCCACGCCGUAAACGAUGAGUGCUAAGUGUUAGGGGGUUUCCGCCCCUUAGUGCUGCAGCUAACGCAUUAAGCACUCCGCCUGGGGAGUACGGUCGCAAGACUGAAACUCAAAGGAAUUGACGGGGGCCCGCACAAGCGGUGGAGCAUGUGGUUUAAUUCGAAGCAACGCGAAGAACCUUACCAGGUCUUGACAUCCUCUGACAAUCCUAGAGAUAGGACGUCCCCUUCGGGGGCAGAGUGACAGGUGGUGCAUGGUUGUCGUCAGCUCGUGUCGUGAGAUGUUGGGUUAAGUCCCGCAACGAGCGCAACCCUUGAUCUUAGUUGCCAGCAUUCAGUUGGGCACUCUAAGGUGACUGCCGGUGACAAACCGGAGGAAGGUGGGGAUGACGUCAAAUCAUCAUGCCCCUUAUGACCUGGGCUACACACGUGCUACAAUGGACAGAACAAAGGGCAGCGAAACCGCGAGGUUAAGCCAAUCCCACAAAUCUGUUCUCA
rnacentral:rRNA from 1 species